rnacentral:rRNA from 1 species
GAUGAACGCUGGCGGCGUGCCUAAUACAUGCAAGUCGAGCGAAUGGAUUAAGAGCUUGCUCUUAUGAAGUUAGCGGCGGACGGGUGAGUAACACGUGGGUAACCUGCCCAUAAGACUGGGAUAACUCCGGGAAACCGGGGCUAAUACCGGAUAACAUUUUGAACCGCAUGGUUCGAAAUUGAAAGGCGGCUUCGGCUGUCACUUAUGGAUGGACCCGCGUCGCAUUAGCUAGUUGGUGAGGUAACGGCUCACCAAGGCAACGAUGCGUAGCCGACCUGAGAGGGUGAUCGGCCAGACUGGGACUGAGACACGGACCAGACUCCUACGGGAGGCAGCAGUAGGGAAUCUUCCGCAAUGGACGAAAGUCUGACGGAGCAACGCCGCGUGAGUGUUGAAGGCUUUCGGGUCGUAAAACUCUGUUGUUAGGGAAGAACAAGUGCUAGUUGAAUAAGCUGGCACCUUGACGGUACCUAACCAGAAAGCCACGGCUAACUACGUGCCAGCCGCCGCAGUAA